GCAGAGGGGCCCCAGCUCCUGCUGCAGGGUGAGGGCAGCGAGCAGCCGCUGGGCUGGCAGGCGGCAGGGGUACCACGGGGCCUGUCCCGUUCCCAUUCCCCAGUCCCCAGGGGCUCCCGUCCCUCUGCCAGCUCGUUCCUCAGCCCAAGGCACCGGGGCUUUCCCCUCCGAGCCCUGCUCCAGCACGGCAGCUCCUCUGCUGGGCGCCGUCCGGCCAGGAUCCGCACGGGAACGCCGCGCCAGCAGAGCAGGCGCAGGGCUGGGUGGAGCGCAGACCUUGCCCUGCUCUCUCCUCUUUCCAGACCCCCUGCAGCCCUCCCUUCUCUCUGUGAGACGCCAGUGGGCUCCCUGUGAGUGGAGUGGAGCAGGAAGCCAUGGCUUUCAUCCAGACCUGGGUCGGGCUCUCUUGCCCGUUGGAUGGCGGCUGUGCCCUGCUGCUCCCCCGGCGCUCAGGUCCUGCUGGCCAUGUGCCCCCCCCCCAGAUGCCCUGUUGUCUCUCUGUCCCCUGGCUGCCAGAUGGAGGAUCACAAACUCGAGUUCCUCGACACCCUGUGCAGAAGCGCCAGGGACCGUGGCUCGCUACUAGGCCUGGAGUUCUUGUGCCACAGACAUGAACUGGCAGAGAAGAUCGAGGGAUGCCGUCCUUGCUGUCGCAGAGCUCCUCAAGUGGAAGGAGCUGAAGCACGUGGCGAAGACACGGCAGACCUGGAGGAUGGCUGACUGCUUGAUGGAAAAGGACAGCAGCAGGGCUGAGCAGUACCUCCAUCAGAGCCUGCAGCACCGGAGGGACCCUCAGGAACGCGUGCAAGACUGCACCAUCAGGUUCAUCGGGGAGCCCCAGCCCGGGGUCCCUGUCUGGGCAGCCCCUGUCCCCCCAGCCCUUGCCCAGUGCCACAUCCAGGCUCCUGGUGGUCCCUGGCUGCUGGGGAGCAGCAGGGGCUGACAGAGCUCUGUGCCCGGGGACCAUCGCUCGGCAUCUCGAGGGCCAAAGCGAGGAGCUGCCUGCUCUGGUUUUCAGUGAACUUCAGGCCGUGGAGGAAGAUGGGUGUGGAUCCAUCCGUUGUCUGGCAGCUCAGACCAGCCUGAUGCUGAGGAGCCCGAAGGAGCAGCGGGCACCGGGACAGUCCCCGCGCGCUCAGCGGUGCUGGCGCCGCUGGGCUGGGGGCCUGCUGUGCCCAGAGUGGGACUGUUGGGGGUUGAG